rnacentral:rRNA from 1 species
UACAGGGGGUGCAAACGUUGCUCGGAAUCAUUGGGCGUAAAGCGCACGUAGGCGGUUCGUUAUGUCGGAUGUGAAAGCCCUUGGCUUAACCGAGGAAGUGCAUCCGAAACUGGCGAGCUAGAGUACUAAAGAGGAUCGCGGAAUUCCCGGUGUAGAGGUGAAAUUCGUAGAGAUCGGAAAGAACACCAACGGCGAAAGCACUCUGCUGGGCCGACACUGACGCUGAGAGACGAAAGCUAGGGGAGCGAAUGGG